GUGAAGUGUUCGGAUUGCGGCGACGUGGGCGGUUCGCUGCCCGCGACGUUGUGAGAAGUCCACUGAACCUUAUCAUUUAGAGGAAGGAGAAGUCGUAACAAGGUUUUCCGUAGGUGAACCUGCGGAAGGAUCAUUG
rnacentral:rRNA from 1 species